rnacentral:lncRNA from 1 species
GAUUCCCUAUGGGUUGGCCUGGCCAACAUCUCUGCAAUUAUUUCCUAUGGGUUGACCUGGCUGACAUUUCUGUUAUUGAUUCCCUAUGGGUUGACCUGGCCAACAUUUCCAUGUAAUGAUUCCCUAUGGGUUGACUUGGCCAACAUCUGUGUAAUGAUUCCCAACAGGUUGACCUGGCCAACAUCUUCACAUAAUGAUUCCCUAUGGGUUGGCCUGGCCAACAUCUCUGCAAUCAUUUCCUAUGGGUUGACCUGGCCGACAUUUCUGUGUAAUGAUUUCCUAUGGGUUGACCUGGCUGACAUUUCUGUUAUUGAUUUCCUAUGGGUUGACCUGGCCAACAUUUCCAUGUAAUGAUUCCCUAUGGGUUGACAUGGCCAACAUUUCCAUCCAAUGAUUCCCUAUGGGUUGACUUUGGGGUGAAUGUUGGGGUUCACAUUGGGGUGACACUGGGGUCAGCACUGGGGUUGACAUUGGGGUCGACUUUGGGUUGAACAUUGGGGUUAACAUUGGAGUGGACUUUGGGGUCAACAUUGGGGUUGACAUUGGGGUUAAGAUUGGGGUUGACAUUGGGUUGAAUACUGGGGUUGACUUUGGGGUCAACGUUGGGAUUAACUUUGGUUUUGACAUUGGGGUUAUGAUUGGGGUCAACAUUGGGGUUGACUUUGGGGUCAACAUUGGGGUUAAGAUUGGGGUUGACAUUGGGGUUGACAUUGGGGUGAACAUUGGGGUUGACUUUGGGGUUGACUUUGGGGUUGGAUUUGGGGUCGAUGUUGGGGUUGACUUUGGGGUUAAGAUUGGGGUUGACAUUGGGGUUGACUUUGGGGUCAACAUUGGGGUUGACUUUGGGGUUGACGUUGAGGUUGACUUUGGGGUGAAUGUUGGGGUUGAUUUUGGGGUGAAUGUCGGGGUUAACUUAGGGGUGAACAUUGGGGUUGACUUUG